CAGUGCUGUUGUGAAUCCUUUCUUGUCCCCAUGGGCUUUGAGUAAAAAUUGCUUCUACCGUCACUAUUGCAAUCUGCCAAAUAACAGCUGUUACCUCUUUUCUUGAUGGAUGAGAAGACUGAUGCAAUUUCUCUGCACAAUUUGCACACCGACCAAUAUCAUCAUCAAGGUUUAUUUUGCUGAUUAAACGUUAUUUCUCUCCUCUCUCUGUGAAAGAUAAAUUGGAUCUUCUCCAUCUUUAUCUUCUUCAUUUCAACAGGUGAGUUUUUUGGUCGGUAAGUAUCUCGACUUUCUUUUCUACUGCAAGAAAUAAGACAAAAAAAAACAAGGAAGCCAUGUGGAAACAAGAAGCAAUAAGGGAAAAAAUGGGUCUUCAGCAUCUUCAUCAGAACAUGUGAUUUUUUUCCUCAGUAAGUAUUUUUAUUUUUAUUUUUUUGUGAAAUUUAUCUUUAUCGUCAGUUUUUUGCUUCGUAAGUAUUGAUACUUUUUUUGCCUGCAAGAAAAUAGACAAAAAAAAAAAAGCCACAUGGAAAGAAGCAGACAAGUUAAAAACUGGAUCUUCAGCAUCUUUAUUUUGUGAAAUUUAAAAAAUCACAUGUUCUAAGCAAAAAAAUCCAAUCUCUUAAAAUUUUUGAGUUUUUCGUUUAUUUUUAUGUAUAUUGUUAGUCUUGUUUCCCUUGUUUAGAUCUCAUCAGAGAGAUUAAGAAAGCAAAUAAGGAUGAAUUUGGAUAUGGAGGCCUGUGUUGACAAGAUCAAACAGGAAUAUCCGUUUAUUUUUAUGUAUAUUUGUUAGCGUUUUUCUUCCUUUAUCGGAUCAUAUGAGAGAGAUUAAGAAAGCAGAUAAGGAUGUGUUUGGAUAUGGAGGCUGUGUUAUUCAUCUACCCAUAAGAUUCAAAUGAGACUUCAUUUUCUCAUCCACCAAUGUCCUUACCUCCCGUACCUCUCUCUCAAACUCUCUUUUCAACAGGUCUCUGUUGCCACAGAAGAAAAAAGUCGAUUGAUCUGACAUUGAGGUUGGAGAAAUCAUCAAAAGGUUGAGCUAUUAAAAUUUGCAGUAUGGUACAAAAUGAUUGGGGAAAUUUUUUUCUCAAGCAUGAAGCCAAUGGUUUAAACCAUAUGGAAUCAAUUUGAGGAAGCUCACGAUAAUCCUAUUGCAACUGAGCAUGAUCCCUUCACAAUUAUCAUUGCCAUUAGAGUCAAAGUGACAACAGCCAACUUCCAUCGCAAAAGAGUGAAAAGCUUUACCUUCUAACUGUUGGUUGUUAUAGAAGUGGUGAGCAUUCAAGAAGCCUGCAGCUUGUAUAGAAAUGUUUGGAGAUUAAACUUGAUUGGAGGUAGGCUUUGUACCUUGAGAAGGCAGUAAAAGAACAAAUUACAAAAGAUGGUGUCAUUGGAAUUGGCAUUUCAGUUACUGCUGUGGUACUUAUAGCUGGUGGAAUUAUAACUGCAUUAGCUAGCAGAAAAUCAUGACGACGGAUUGUUAUUUUAAGAGUAAUUUCCCUGAUUUGCGGUUCCCAAUCUUCGAAGAUGAUGCAUUUUAACCCUGCUAACUAUGAACUGAUGUCCUUUCUAUUACUUUUAGUUGAAGUUAAGACUUUGUAAAUAUAUAUUUCAAUAGAUUUCAUAUGGUACCUCCGGAUCGAAGCAUAUUAUCUCAACUAAGAUGUCCCGGCACUCUGGGCAAGCUGAAAAGUCCCACCGCGCAUAGCGCGGUGUUCACCUCCUA